GGGGCGGUGGCUCAGUCUGGAAGAGCACACGGCUGAAGACCGUGGUGUCGCUGGUUCAAAUCCGGCUCGCCCCA
rnacentral:tRNA from 1 species